rnacentral:lncRNA from 1 species
UGGGGAUACUCCCAAGGAGGUGGGUCAAGGGGCCGUGCAGUGGUGGUGGGUCCCAUCUUCCCACCGUGGCACUGACUCCAAGCAGAGGGUUGUCUUCUGCUGCAUCCCUCCGUGCUUUCACUGAUGAGUAACUCUCCUCGAAGCCCCCAUGAGGAGUGGGUGGGCUGUUGUUAGACCCCUUGGUUGUUUUGCAGGGGAAGCUGAAGGCCAACGUGCCACAUCUCUGAGUGUUCAGAUGUUUGAUUUUUUUUUUUUCCCAUUCUUUUGCAUCAAAUAGUCUGUUUGAACAAGGGAAGAGGCUGUGGAGUCUCCAUCCUUGGAGAUGUUUAAAAUCUAGCUGGUCACGGAGUUGAGCACCCUGCUCCAUCUGACCCUGGUUGGACAAGAGGGUCUGCAGAGAUGGGUUCCCACCUCAGCGGGUCUGGGAUUGUGAGAAACAACGUGUUUUGGUUGCAAACAGAGCUCUCGCUGAGUUUGUGUGGAGAUGCUCAGCGCAACCAUCGGAGCAGAAGAAGUUGAAACUUCCUGAGCUCUUGUGGAUAAACAUCGUUGGCAUUUUAAGCAGAAGUGGGAGGAGGAGGCCUUCUGGUGGUUUUGAUUCCCCUACCCUUGUUCUUGGAAAUGUCUCAGCUGAUUUGGCUUAAAGCCUGAGGAACACUUCAGCCUGGCUUCUAGACUGGAAUCCUUGUCACAAGGAGUCUGUCAGUGUUAUAAAGUGAAACUACUUCUUCAAUUUUGGUGUUUCCUUUUCCAUUUUCUUUUUCUUUUUUUGUCUUGAGGGCAACCCACCAUUUCUAUAUCUUUGCUUCCCACCAGUUUGGCACUGCCCAUACGCUCUGCCGACACCUCUGGCUACCUGUGACAGUAGAGCUUUGUUCCCAUUGUAAUUUGGUCCUUUUCUUUUCCAACUCCAUUUGUUUCCCCCUUAAUUAAAGGAUAUAUGUAACAAAUUAAUGAUGAAAAAAUCGAAUUUUAGCCGAACAGCAUCUCUCUCAUUUGUGUCCCAGCAAAUUUGCAUUAGCCCUUAACUUCUGUAGGUUUACUCCAGAUCAAUUUUAAAAGAGAGUGGUUAAGAGCAGAAUUUUAACUGCUGUCCAAAGUGGCUAAAAGAUUGAAAUGAUUGAAUAAUUUUUUUCUUUAUUAUAAAAGAAUAGUUCCGGAAGUGAAGCUAUUUAUACAAUGGAAAAAAUUGGGAAGUCCAAUUAGCAUUAUAUAGUAGUUGAUUUUGCAGAAAAAAAUAUCCAGUCCCUGAUAUGUUGAUUUAUACUCCUUUUUAGCUCUUGGGGCUAUGAGAUGCUGUAGGGAUUAGCUCCUGGCUGUGUCAGACAAGCACGGGAAAGAGCUGAUAAUCACAGAAUCACAGAAUUGUGGAGGUUGGAAGGGACCUUUAAGAUCAUCUAAUCCAACCAUCAACCUAACUCUGAUAAGAAAAAAUAAAUAUCACUAAACUAUGUGUCUGAGCUCUAUG